UCCUCUCUGAGCCAGUCGCCAUGAAGCCAGCCACCAGGUCAGACAUGCUGAAUCUUUCCCGAAUUCCAACAUCUACGUAGACCAGCUGGAACUCCAGCCUUAUGGACUAAGCAACUUAAGGAUUCUUGGACUUUCUGUUCACAACCAGCCAUUGUUGGAUUAGCUGGACUGCAUCUUAGAAUGAGAACCUGUAAAAUUCUUCCAGACUAAUGUGGUUUGAUGGACCAAGACCCUCUAAAAGGCCACCUUGAACACUGCUCAAAAAAUUAAUUUGCCUGAUAAACUGGACGCAGAUUGGAGAAUACUAUGCCCAUAUUCCCAAAUAUUAUUUGUAAAUGUUUCUUUACAUUUAAAGGGGGAUAUGCUAUAGAGAUGGAUACUUUGCAUUGAUGUGAAUGUUGG